UGCAGUCGAGGGGUAACAUUGUANCUUGCUACAGAUGACGACCGGCGCNCGGNUGAGUAACGCGUACGCAACCUGCCAUAUACAGAGGGAUAGCCUAGAGAAAUUUGGAUUAAUACCUCAUAGUAUUUCGAGAUCGCAUGAUCUUGAUCUUAAAGAUUUAUCGGUAUAUGAUGGGCAUGCGUGACAUUAGCUAGUUGGUGAGGUAAGGGCUCACCAAGGCUACGAUGUCUAGGGGGACUGAGAGGUUGACCCCCCACACUGGUACUGAGACACGGACCAGACUCCUACGGGAGGCAGCAGUGAGGAAUAUUGGUCAAUGGGCGCAAGCCUGAACCAGCCAUCCCGCGUGAAGGAUGACUGCCCUAUGGGUUGUAAACUUCUUUUAUGUGCCAAGAAAAUCAGCCACGUGUGGUUGACUGACGGUAGCACAAGAAUAAGGACCGGCUAACUCCGUGCCAGCAGCCGCGGUAAUACGGAGGGUCCGAGCGUUAUCCGGAUUCAUUGGGUUUAAAGGGUGCGUAGGCGGCUUCAUAAGCCAGUGGUGAAAGCUUGCAGCUUAACUGUAAAAUUGCCAUUGGAACUGUAGAGCUUGAGUACGAUUGAAGUAGGCGGAAUAAAUAGUGUAGCGGUGAAAUGCUUAGAUAUUAUUUAGAACACCNNUUGCGAANGCAGCUUACUAAGUCGUAACUGACGCUGAUGCACGAAAGCGUGGGUAGCGAACAGGAUUANAUACCCUGGUAGUCCACGCCGUAAACGAUGUUCACUCGUUGCUGGNGAUACACAGUCAGUGACCAAGCGAAAGCAUUAAGUGAAC
rnacentral:rRNA from 1 species